AACUAUUAACAAACAGAGCUUUUAAAUCGUUGGCAUGUGAUUUGCUGUUUUUCUUUUUCAAAAAUCCCGCCUAUAUUGCACAUUCUCAGAUAUAUAUUUUUGUAUCUUGGCAAGCGAGUCCCAUUGAUACUGAUUUAUGGGAGGCGGGAGUCCGACCGACAGGGGUACUCCGAACUCCGAGCGGUCGUGUGCGCCGCUUUAUGGACCCACCAUUCGAUAAUCGAGGCGGCGAGGGAGGCAUCGAUCGGAUAUUUUCUGAGUAAGUUGAGAAAUUCCACAAUUCCAUUCUACUGGCAGUGCUGAGUUCCAGUUUAAUUCACAUGUAAUAAGUGAGUAUACAUCUUAUUUGUGUGCUCAGCUCAUCGGAUGUGUGAAAAGUGUGGCACUUUGCAAAUAUUAAUUUCAGGCGAAUUUCCUAACAUCUGGCGACGACAGCCUGGUGGACAAGUGAACCUGGAAACCGGAGACAAGCCUUUGACACGUGAUUUUGUUAUUUAUACACCUGAUGCUGAAGCUCGCUAAUUUGUGCAAAACGGAAGUGAAGCCAAGUGUCUCGAGUUGCGAAAGGUUCGCCGUUUAGGCCACAUGGAACCAGUUUCUUACAAGACUGCUACUGUUUCUCAUCCGCGGCUUGAAGCGUUUAAAGUGUAAUAAAUUUCAUGCCUCAACAAUCACAGAUAUGAGAAAAAAAAAGGAAACCUUGCGGCAAUGGCUUUACCUUGACCUCUCGACCGUGCAACAAGUGCCUCGGCUCGGAUGCUGCUUCCAGUUUCUUUCAAAUGCCGACCGCAAACAUUAAAAAAAAAUUAGAGAAGAAGGCGGCACAUUACAAACCUGGCUACCUCGUUGAUAAGAUUAGGAGUCUGGACGGGCUUAGAUAUGAACAGGGAAAGAGGAGCGUGGGAAAUUCCACGAUCCCAGUAUACACGGGAAGUGAAAAAACAGAGAACAAUGUUGAACCGAUUUUGUAUUUAACAAAAAAAUUUAAGAGCUAGAUAGUUAUAGCAAGAAUAAGAUCACUUUUUAAAUUUUUUAUGUAUUAUUAUUUAAAAAAAUUUAGAACUUUUGUGUACUGAACUGAUUUGUGAUAAAUGAAUCCCAACAACAAUAUUAUCUAUAAAA